rnacentral:rRNA from 1 species
UACGUAGGGGGCAAGCGUUGUCCGGAAUCAUUGGGCGUAAAGCGCGUGUAGGCGGUUCGAUCAGUCUGCUGUGAAAGCCCAGGGCUCAACCCUGGGAUGCCGGUGGAUACUGUCGGGCUAGAGUCCGGAAGAGGCGAGUGGAAUUCCUGGUGUAGCGGUGAAAUGCGCAGAUAUCAGGAGGAACACCAAUUGCGAAGGCAGCUCGCUGGGACGGUACUGACGCUGAGACGCGAAAGCGUGGGGAGCGAACAGGAUUAGAUACCCCCGUAGUCC